rnacentral:rRNA from 1 species
AGAGUUUGAUCCUGGCUCAGGACGAACGCUGGCGGCACGCCUAACACAUGCAAGUCGAACGAGAGGAGAGGAGCUUGCUUUUCUGAUCUAGUGGCGGACGGGUGAGUAACACGUGAGCAAUCUGCCUUUCAGAGGGGGAUACCGAUUGGAAACGAUCGUUAAUACCGCAUAACAUAAUUGAACCGCAUGAUUUGAUUAUCAAAGAUUUAUCGCUGAAAGAUGAGCUCGCGUCUGAUUAGCUAGUUGGUAAGGUAACGGCUUACCAAGGCGACGAUCAGUAGCCGGACCGAGAGGUUGAUCGGCCACAUUGGGACUGAGACACGGCCCAGACUCCUACGGGAGGCAGCAGUGGGGAAUAUUGCACAAUGGAGGAAACUCUGAUGCAGCGAUGCCGCGUGAGGGAAGAAGGUUUUAGGAUUGUAAACCUCUGUCUUCAGGGACGAAAAAAGACGGUACCUGAGGAGGAAGCUCCGGCUAACUACGUGCCAGCAGCCGCGGUAAUACGUAGGGAGCGAGCGUUGUCCGGAAUUACUGGGUGUAAAGGGAGCGUAGGCGGGAUCGCAAGUCAGAUGUGAAAACUAUGGGCUUAACCCAUAAACUGCAUUUGAAACUGUGGUUCUUGAGUGAAGUAGAGGUAAGCGGAAUUCCUAGUGUAGCGGUGAAAUGCGUAGAUAUUAGGAGGAACAUCAGUGGCGAAGGCGGCUUACUGGGCUUUAACUGACGCUGAGGCUCGAAAGCGUGGGGAGCAAACAGGAUUAGAUACCCUGGUAGUCCACGCCGUAAACGAUGAUUACUAGGUGUGGGGGGACUGACCCCUUCCGUGCCGCAGCAAACGCAAUAAGUAAUCCACCUGGGGAGUACGACCGCAAGGUUGAAACUCAAAGGAAUUGACGGGGGCCCGCACAAGCAGUGGAGUAUGUGGAUUAAUUCGAAGCAACGCGAAGAACCUUACCAGGUCUUGACAUCGUAUGCAUAGCUCAGAGAUGAGUGAAAUCUCUUCGGAGACAUAUAGACAGGUGGUGCAUGGUUGUCGUCAGCUCGUGUCGUGAGAUGUUGGGUUAAGUCCCGCAACGAGCGCAACCCUUACUGUUAGUUGCUACGCAAGAGCACUCUAGCAGGACUGCCGUUGACAAAACGGAGGAAGGUGGGGAUGACGUCAAAUCAUCAUGCCCCUUAUGACCUGGGCCUCACACGUACUACAAUGGCUGUCAACAGAGGGAAGCAAAGCCGCGAGGUGGAGCGAACCCCUAAAAGCAGUCUUAGUUCGGAUUGUAGGCUGCAACCCGCCUACAUAAAGUCGGAAUUGCUAGUAAUCGCAGAUCAGCAUGCUGCGGUGAAUACGUUCCCGGGCCUUGUACACACCGCCCGUCACGCCAUGGGAGUCGGUAACACCCGAAGCCUGUAGUCUAACCGCAAGGAGGACGCAGUCGAAGGUGGGAUUGAUGACUGGGGUGAAGUCGUAACAAGGUA